GAGGGGAAACGUCAGAGGGGAGGCAGAGCGACAAGGCAGCUCGCCGUCGACUCUGGCCUCAGUGUCCACUUAGCCGUCGGUGGGGAAGGAUACAUUUGUAGUAACUCUAUAAAACAUCUGAAUAGUCAUUUUAAUCAAAGAAGAUAAAUAAGAAAACGCUUUUGUAAGUACACAGAGUGAAGAGUUUUUCGGUAGUGAGGUAACUGAUGUUCAUUGCCUUAAAACAAAAAAACACAAACAGUGUAAAAGACCGCAUUUUAACGCACGGUUCUUGAGAAACAAAGAAAAAAAAAAGACAACGAAAAUAAGUACUUUCCAAAGACAAAAAAACAACAACAACAAACAUUAAUUAAGACCAUUAAAAAAAAAAAAAGUACGACCAGUGCUACAAGACUUAACAUAGUGUAUUCGUCGAUACGGUUGGACUCAUCACGUGUACUGACCCAAGCUUACGACCAUACCUACGACCCUAUAUAUAACGACCAUACCUUCGCCCAUAUAUACGACUACAUCUACGACCACCAUGCUCUCCUUAAUACGCACACUUCUGACGGUGGCCCUACUGUCCUCUACAGGUAUGCAUUUGCCGCUUGC